rnacentral:rRNA from 1 species
CCCGGUUAUUGAAGCGGUAUGGUUCCACCUCUUCCCAUUCCGAACAGAGUCGUGAAACGUACCAGCGCUGACGAUAGUAAUUCCGCAAGGGAUUGCGAAAAUAGGUCAUAGCCGGGU